rnacentral:rRNA from 1 species
UUGAUCCUGGCUCAGAAUCAACGCUGGCGGCGUGCCUAAUACAUGCAAGUCGAACGCGAAGACCCCGCAAGGGGUUGGUAGCGUGGCAAACGGGUGAGUUACGCGUGGGCGACCUGCCUUCGAGUGGGGGAUAACCUUCCGAAAGGAGGUCUAAUACCGCAUGACAUGCCUCGUUUAGAUACGGGGACAUCAAAGCCGGUGACCGCAAGACCUGGCGCUUGAAGAGGGGCCUACGUCCGAUUAGCUAGUUGGUGGGGUAAUGGCUCACCAAGGCGACGAUCGGUAUCCGGCCUGAGAGGUCGGACGGACACACUGGGACUGAGACACGGCCCAGACUCCUACGGGAGGCUGCAGUAGGGAAUUGUUCGCAAUGGGCGCAAGCCUGACGACGCAACGCCGUGUGGAGGAUGAAGACCUUCGGGUCGUAAACUCCUUUCGACCGAGAUGAAUACGUGCCGACCUAAUACGUUGGCACGCUGACAGUAUCGAGGGAAGCAGCUCCGGCUAACUCCGUGCCAGCAGCCGCGGUAAUAAGGU